ensembl:lncRNA DLEU1 deleted in lymphocytic leukemia 1
CCGAGGGGUCGUCUUAUAGCUACCAGCCCACAGGCAUUUAGUCUACGUUGGAGGUAAACAAAUACGGGUCCUGCUUAGGAGAAAAGAAAAACGUCUUACAGCCAGUGUCUAAACUCCAAACAACGGAAUGUAUCAAUGAGACCUUGUAUAUGGAUACACGUGCAUUUAAAACCGCCCUGCCGGCUUGUAGAGCUUUUGCCGUUCUCCAGCGCUUUACAGGGGUUAUCGCACUUAAGCCUCGGAACAACUUUACCAGGUAGGAACUAUUACUGUUCUCGUUUUGAAGACCAGGAAACCUAGGCUCAGAGACGUUAAGUAAUUUGCCCAAGACAGCACAGGUGGCACAGAAGUGGAUGAAUCCACAUCUGUCAGAUUCAGCAGCCCUGGAGUUCUCUACCACGCUGUACGAUUCAACCUGAGCCCACACAGGAGGCGUGGUCUCCUUCUUCAACGGUGUGUGUGUGUGUGCGCGCGCGCCUGCCUAGAGUUAAUGAUUAAGUUUGCUGAAGCCCUUCUUCCCGGUCCUAAGCUGCCUGUUGCGAAGGCGCUUUCAUUGAAUUCAGUUUCUCUUACCGUCUUAACUUGUUCAUAAACUUUUUGAGAUAGGAAUGGGCAGUUUUUCUGUGUCACUUAGGAUGAUUUUUUUUUUUAAUGGCGUGAUAAGUGAACUGAAUCCAGCAAAGACGAGUUUCUGUUGUGCAACACGUUGGUAUACUGACAGCUACCACGUAUUGACUGUGUACUGUGUGCUGGGCACUGUGCUAAAUAAAUGAUUUACGAAUUAAUCGUGUUUAUUGCUCACAACAGCCUUAUGAAGUAGGUAUUAUCUUCACUUUACAGAUGAGGACACCUGAGGUUCAGAUUAAGAAAUCUGCCCCAAAGUCUUAGAACUGUGAUUCUACCAGAAAGGAAUGAAGAACAGAACCUUCAGGAAUUGAGUCACAAUGCAGACAAAUAUCAAAUGGGAGAUUGUUGCAAGGAAGAGAUUGAUGAUAGUAUUUUCUACUAGCCAUUGGGAAGAUAAAAGGAGACAGAAGAUUGAAGCCUUUGCCAGCCAUUCUUUCCCUUUUUGCUUCCAAACUCCUCAACUGGGAACCUUCAUAUGUGCAGUAUUUAUAUUGGAUCAUACUGGUGAUUAUAAAAGUUCCUAGGAGGCUAGAAGAGCCAACCAACAGAGAAGGGAAAGCAGUCUGUUCUGAACAUAGGGACAUAAGUUCAUUCAUGCCAAGUAUCUUUCCAGCAUGUUUCUCCCAUUUAGAAUAUCUAGCAUGUAAGGCCUUUCAAUAUUAAUAUAAGCCCAAUAUCAGCUCUUUCUCUUUGUAUUUCAUCUCUUUCUACUCUCCUAUUUGUAUUUUGUGUUCCUAUCAAAGUGUCGUAUCUGGGAGAUGACCUGCCUUAUCCUGUUCUAUAACAGUUUUGUUUGCUGCUGUGUCUUUAGAACAGUGCCUGGCACACAGUAAGCACUCAAUAAAUCUUUGAUGAAUGAA